UUGAAGACCAGCUACCACCGGGAGAGAAGAAGCAGAGAGAGGUAGGAGGAGAGAGGGGGUCGCCGAUCUGAUCCUCUCGCUGCUGGGAAUUUGGGAGUGUCGGGGAGGAGCUGCCGGAGCAUCGCGGAGGCGUCCGCGUGGUGCUCUGAUGUGGAAUGUGAACCUGGGGGCUCUGGUUGUGCUCGUCAUGCGUGAAGAAAAGCGACCGCUGCCGUGGAGUCACACCUCGCCGCGGCUAGAAGAUUACACGCAUCAAGUCUCGGUAAGAUGUCUCUUAUUGAGCUUGCCGUGAUCCCCCAUCGUGUAGUAUCUCUAGUUUCGAAGUUUGGACCGACGGGUUGCCAGAGCAUGCACUUCAGCCAUGGCGCCACCAAGUUAGGCGGCGCCGCCGCGGCGUGCUGUUGGGGAAGAAGGUAACGCCCUUGCCGUUCGAAUCGCGAUGGGCGGUGUAGAUUAACCGAUGCUGUUCACGUUGGGGCGUGUGUGCCGUCCGAUCUGGCUGACGGUUAGGAUUUGUUAUGUGCGCCGAUGUAAUCUGGGCCACCAGAUGGUGAUCGGACGGCUGAAAACACAGGAUACCCCUUCACGCGGCAUAAUAUCUAAAGAGACCCUAGGUUAAUAACAAUUCAACCCGCAGUCCACCUGGUGGGUCAUCUGUGUCUUAGGAUUAAUUGCAUCAGGGCCCCUGACUUCUCUGGAAAUUGAGGCUCAGUCCAGGGUAGAUUAAAAAUAGAGAAAUAAUAUUAGAAUUUCGUUUUUAAUACAAAAACAAUUCUAGAAACUUGUAAAAUGCAUAUAAAAUUCAUUUUAGCUCCAAAUUGAACCAUUCCAAUUUCUAAAAUUUUGUAAUAAUAUUCUCUAUCAUUUAGUGUCUCUGUUUUGUCAUGAAAACAGUAAGAAAAUUAAUUUAUCAUUUAAUCUUAUUUCAAGCACAUUAAACCUUAGGAAAUUCAUAACUUGAAAGCUAUAACUCCAAAUUUAAUGAUUCCAGUUCCUACGAUUUUAGUGUAAUAUGUAGAUUUUUAUUGCGUAUUUUAUUCACAUGUUUGGUGCAAUGUUAAUUUUUGCUAUACCCUGUAUGUAUUGUGUUGAUGCGAGUAGACGAGCAAGCCACUGUGGAUUCUGAGGUUUAACAAGUAGAAGUAGCUGAGCAGGAGCUCAUUGAAUGCAAGUUGUGCCCUUGAUCACUUACUUUUCCCAGCCAUGUUCUUAUUAAUUUUAAUGAUCUGCAUAGGUUAAUUUUGAUGGGAUCCUUUAUGUUAUCCCAGUUUUGAUUACCUCUAUACCUUGAUCACCCCUGAAAUAUUUUUGGGUAGUACUUGCUAUUGCUUUAUGUGGAUUGGGUAUGGAGAUACACUACUCAUGAUUAUCCUGUUAUUAUCUUGUUAUUAUACUGUUCAUGUUAAGAUCAUUAAAUUAAUGGGAACAUGGAGCGACCACCCGGGAAAACAAUGCUACCACAAGGGUUUAAUGGGACGCCCUUGGCUGAUUAACUAGGAAAGCUAGUGGAGGUCUUCCUUACCCGAAAGGGGCAAGGGCAGUAGGGGAGUGGUCAGUGUAGGGAGGUCCCUGUGUUGAUUUUGCUGCGAUGGCGGUCAGGCAAGAACCCUGCACUGGAGCUUCCUAUAAACUGUAGCGGGAUUUCUGAAGCUAGUGGAACUUUGUAAAGGCCUUGUAGUGUUACCCUGCCUCGCCUCCUCGGUAGAGGUGUAUGGGAUUGGCCGUCUCUUGGCAGAUGGGUAACAUGACUUGUGGGUAAAGAUGUGCAACCUCUGCAGAGUGUAAAACUAGUAUACUAGCCGUGCUCACGGUCAUGAGCGGCUCGGACCCUCACAUGAUUAAAUAUGGAACUUAAAUUUAAUUUGACAUUUGCAUCGCAUUUGGGAUUAUUUUACUAUUACUGUUCUUUAUUAUUAUUAAGGUUUGGUAUUUACUUACACUUAGUAAUUGCUAAUAAAAUUUUGACCAACUUAUAAAAGCAAUGCUAAGCUUCAGCCUCUAUUUCAUUGAUCAGCCUUACACUCCAUGAACUCCCACCUUUGGUGAGUUCAUGCCACAUUAUUCCCCAUGACUUGUUGAGCUAUGAACGUAUGUGAGCUCACUCUUGCUGUCUCACAUCCCCCACAGGAGAAGAGAAGGUGGUCGAAGAGGAACCGCCUAACACUGAGGCAUUCGACUUGAUCUAGGUGGCGUUUCUCAGUUGACAUUGGCGCCAUCGAUCCUUAGUUCGUUUUACCUUUAUUCUUUUACUUUGUAAUAAGUCUUCCGCUAUGUAAUAAAUACUCUGAUGAUUUAUGACAUUUAUCUCUAUACACUCUGUUAUUAUAUAUGUUGUCUUCUUUGGCGCAUGUAUGAGAUGCACCCGUCUUUGUUCCUUAAAACCGGGUGUUACAGAAGUGGUAUCAGAGGAAAUGUUGACUAUAGGACGAAACCUAGAUAGAAAUGGACAAAAGCCUUCCCUACUUACCUUCUUCUGAUUCAUUCUAUACUUACCUUACUCUGAUUCUCUCUAUACUUAUCUUGAUCCUGUCUCACUUUCUACUGUUCUACUCUGAUGAUUCUUACCUUUUCUACUCUAAGACAAGAUGUAUUUCACACUUUGGAAUCCUACCUUUAUGACCUUUUUAAGAGAUAGGAGACCUAAGACAAAAAAAUAAAAUUAUUUUAUCUAUUAAAAAUGUUGGUUGAUUGUGCUGAAGAUCAAUGCCUGAUUUGCUUCUUUGAUUGAUUGAAAUAGUAUAGAUGGGCAUCUUAGCAUGUACCACAAUAAGGUAAUGAAUUAGCUUUAGUAGGUUACACACUUAGCUAAUAAAUCCCCCCAAAGUAACAUGCUUCGUAAUCACUGCCUUGUCUAGAAUCCUUUCUUUCGUCCCCUGUGUUUCUAACCCAGAUGGGCUACCCCUAUAAUGUUAGAAGAGAGCACUAUAGACGUGAUCCUUGAUAUGUCGUGGUUAAGAAAGGUAAAGGCAGUUUAUACACUGGUGCUAAAGGAACCAUAGAACUCACCAGUUCCAAAGGAGAAGGAUUUGAAGUUGGAAUUGCAGUAACUACCGCCACCAAACUAGCAGCAUUCUUAGUCGAUGGGAAGUUUGUUGGUGACAACAUCCGUGUGGUUAAGGAUUUUCCGGAUGUCUUUCCAGAGGAGUUACCAGGGAUGCCACCAGAUACGGAAGUUGAGUUGGUCAUUGAUCUCUUACCUGGGACUGCCCCUACUUUCAAGCGGCCAUACAGGAUGUCUGUAGAAGAGUUGAAGGGACUCAAGAAGCACUUAACGGAGUUGCAAGAGGUUGGGUACAUUCGUCCGAGUUCCUCACCUUGUGGAGCGCCGAUUCUAAUUGUACAGAAGAAAGAAGGAUCACAAGGGGUGUACGUGGAUUAUAGGUCCCUUAACGAUGUCACUGUGAAGAACAAGUGUCCAUUACCCCGCAUUGAGGAUUUAUUCAGAUGAGAGGUGCAAGGGUAUUCUCGAAGAUUGAUCUCCGAUCGGGUUAUCAUCAAAUGAAGAUUAGGCCAUCGGAUAUUCCCAAGACAUCUUUCUCGACUCGAUAUGGAUUAUAUGAGUUCUUUGUUAUGUCGUUUGGAUUAGCUAAUGCACCAGCUUAUUUUAUGGGUUUGAUGAAUAAGGUGUUUAUGGAGUAUUUGGACAGAUUCGUCGUAGUAUUUAUCGACGAUAUUCUUAUCUAUUCUAAGAGUGAAAGUGAUCAUGAGGAACACCUGAGAUUGGUGCUACAAAAGCUAAGAGAUAAUCAACUCUAUGCCAAGUACAGUAAAUGCGAGUUUUGGAUUGACGAGGUGCCAUUCCUUAGACAUAUCAUUCCUAAUGGAGGGAUAUCAGUGGAUCCUGCUAAAGUCAAGGAGAUAGUGGUGUGGAGCAUACCCACUACAGUUACGAAGAUUCGGAGUUUCUUGGGACUUGCAGGAUAUUAUCGGAGAUUUAUUGAAGGGUUCUCUAAGAUUGCCAAGCCUAUGACCUCGCUUUUGGAGAAAGGAAGAGAAUUCAAGUGGGAUGAGAAAUGCCAAGAGAGCUUUGAUCAAUUGAAGGAGAGGUUGAUGUCGCCACCAGUAUUGGUUAUGCCAGAUCUACAGAAGGGACUUGACAUUUAUUGUGAUGCAUGUGGCCAAGGCUUGGGAUGUGUGCUCAUGCAAGAAGGACACGUGAUUGCUUACGCGUCUCGUCAGUUGCGGAAACAAGAGUUAAACUACCCCACUCAUGACUUAGAGCUGGUAGCCGUUGUGCAUGCGCUUAAGAUUUGGAGACAUUAUCUCAUGGGAACCAAGUGUUAAGUGUACACGGAUCAUAAGAGUUUGAAGUAUAUGUUCACUUAGAAGAAUCUCAACCUUAGGCAACGCCGUUGGUUGGAGCUUAUUAAGGAUUAUGAUUUGGAGAUUCACUAUCACCCGGGCAAGGCAAAUUUGGUUGCAAAUGCCUUGAGUCGAAAGGAGCAUGUUCAUUUAGCUGUUGUUGCCCAGCUACCCGAUGAAAUUGUUGAGAAUUUCAGGAGACUUAACCUGGGGAUUGUUGCUCACACUGAAGGAGUUACUAUUGAUGUGGAAUCUACCUUGGAACAAGAAAUCCACAAAGGACAAAUUGGUGAUGCUAAAAUACAAGAGAUUAAGGAUCUGAUUACUGAAGGACGAGGUCCGGAAUUUACGGAAGAUGAGCAAGGCAUCAUAUGGUUCAAGGACAGGAUAUGUGUUCCUGAUAUUGAAAGCCUUCGUGAGACUGUUUUAAAGGAGCCCCAUGACUUGGAUUAUUCUAUUCAUCCUGGUAGUACCAAGAUGUAUCAGGAUUUGAAGCGGAAGUAUUGGUGGUAUGGAUUGAAGAGAGUUGUGGCUGCACAUGUGGCUAUGUGCGAUGUGUGUCAAAGAGUUAAGGCAGAACACCAAAGACAAGCUGGACUAUUAUACCCAUUAAAGAUACCCGAGUGGAAGUGGGAAGAGAUUGGUAUGGAUUUUAUUACUGGGUUGCCUCACACCUCGAAAGGAUAUGAUUCUAUAUGGGUUAUUAUGGAUAGCCUAACCAAAGUGGCUCAUUUCAUUCCGGUCAAGACUACUUAUAAGUAAUCUCAAUUGGUUUAAGUUAUAUAUGGCUCGGAUUAUGUCUCUACACGGUGUACCAAAGAUCGUUUUGGAUAGAGGAUCACAGUUUACCUCCAGAUUUUGGAAAAGUUUUCAAGAGAAUGUGGAUACAAAGUUGAAUUCUAGUUCGGCCAUCCUCAGACUGAUGGACAGACUGAAGGGACUAAUCAAGUAUGGGAGGACAUGUUGAGAACUUGUGCCCUUCAGCAUGGUAGUAGUUGGGACAAGAGUCUACCUUAUGCUUAGUUCUCAUAUAAUAAUAGUUACCAGGCCAGUCUGAAGAUGUCACCGUUCGAGGCUUUAUACGGCAGAAAUGCAGGACUCCUCUAUUUUUGGACCAGACUAGAGGAAGACAAAUCUUUGGACCUGAACUUAUUCAAGAGGCGGAAGAACAAGUCCGUAUAAUUCGGGAGGAUUUAAGAUAGCUCAGACCAGACAAAAGAGCUACGUUGAUAACAGAAGAAGACCAUUGGAAUUUGAGGAAGGAGAUCAUGUGUACCACAAGAUGUCACCACUUCGUGGAAUGAGGAGAUUCAAAGUUAAGGGCAAUUUGUCCCCUCGCUUUAUUGGACCAUUCUGAGUUUUUAGGCAAGUUAGAGAGAUGGCCUAUCAACUCGAGCUACCUGAUAAGAUAUCUGAUAUGCAUAAUGUAUUUUAUGUGUCUCAACUUAAGAAGUGUCUCUGUGUCCCUGAGGAACAGUUACCAAUGGAUGAGCUCCGUGUUCAAGGGGAUUUGACUUAUACGGAAUAUCCUACCAAGAUUCUUGAUACAUCGACUCGAGUUACAAGAAAUAAGGUUAUAAAGAUGUGCAAAGUACAAUGGAGCCAUCAUGGAGAAGAUGAAGCUGCUUGGCAGAGAGCAAAAGAGCCCCGCAUAGAUUUUCCCAUUGUUUCCCUAGUCCUUCCUAAAUCUCGAGGACGAGAUUCUUGUUAAGGGGGUAGGAUUUGUAAAGCCCAAAAUUUGUAUCACGGAAAAAAAUAAUAAAUAAAAAUAAGUAUGUAGUGUUUUGGGAUUAUGGAACCGUUGGAAAUUAUUUGAUUUCCUUUUUCCCUUGUGCAUACUUAAUUAAGGGAAUUAAAGUAAUCAAAUAACAAAUGAAUAAAUACAUAAAUAUGCAUUAAAGUUGUAAACUAAACCAAAGGUUAUAUAGUUAUGUGGUUGUUUACAUAAAUGAAUAAUAAAGUUUGAAUGAACUAUUGAAAUAAAUAAUGUAUAUGUUGUAUAUGUUGAACAUUUGCAUAAAUAAUUAAUAUAUAAAAUAUAUACAUUAUUUGCAUCUCAUGCUGGAGUUGUGCUUGUGCAUUUUAAUUUAUGUGUGUGAAUUUCCAACCAAAUUCAAAUUUGGAAAGAGAAAAAAAUUGAAAAUAGGAAAUGCAAAUAAAAAAAAAGACAAAGAAGCUUACCUCGCAUGAUGCAUGGCCUCUCCAUUGCACGUUUUUCUCAGCAAAGCCCAAAUGCACACACGUAUUUUUUUUCUUCUUUUCCUUAUGCGUCGUGAUGCUGUUGCAUGCAGUCAAUAGCCAUAUUGCAUGCACUCGCUGUUCUCGUAUAGCGAUUGACUUACGGGUCCGCGAUUUCAGCCUCGUCGGUCUUCUUCAGGCCACGACGAUCACUGCAGCUGGGAGGUUACUAUACGCCGUAACAAACUGUAACCGCCACCGAUUUGUUCGCUGACAUCGCGCCAACCCUCCUCACGCUGGGAUAUAUGAACAGACUGCGCCCUGGCCGUAGAUCAUCCGAUCGCUUGAAGACCAGCUACCACCGGGAGAGAAGAAGCAGAGAGAGGUAGGAGGAGAGAGGGGGUCGCCGAUCUGAUCCUCUCGCUGCUGGGAAUUUGGGAGUGUCGGGGAGGAGCUGCCGGAGCAUCGCGGAGGCGUCCGCGUGGUGCUCUGAUGUGGAAUGUGAACCUGGGGGCUCUGGUUGUGCUCGUCAUGCGUGAAGAAAAGCGACCGCUGCCGUGGAGUCACACCUCUCCGCGGCUAGAAGAUUACACGCAUCAAGUCUCGGUAAGAUGUCUCUUAUUGAGCUUGCCGUGAUCCCCCAUCGUGUAGUAUCUCUAGUUUCGAAGUUUG
rnacentral:lncRNA from 1 species